UCAUCAUUCACUGGAAGUAUCACACAUUUCUCAUUUCUGCUGCAUGAAAUUGUAUACUGAAGUUCAUAAAAUCAGGUGAAGAAGAAAUUCUUGUUGGUAUUUUAAAUGUUGAUGACAUUUUUUUGUUGUUUAUCAAACUUGGCUGAUAUUGCAAUUUUGUCAUUGCUGUGCAAAGAUAAAUUUUAUUUUAGUAUUAAAGGUGAUGCUAAUGUUAAAUUUAUGUUAAAUGAUUACUCAUUAUUCCUAUUUCACUUUGGAUUGAUUUUUGUUUGGUUCACCAAAUUGUGCUUGAACGGUUUGUCUGAGGGACAUUUUAAUGCUAAAACCAAAACAUCAGAUUUCUUAUUUCUUUUUAUUAUAUUCAAGCUGUUGUUGAAAUAAUAUCUAAUAUGUUUUUAAAGGAAAUAAAUGAGGUUCUAUUUCCCUCCAGUAUAGCUGCAGUUUGAGUUCACAGUUUGUUAGUUUGAAAAGAUGAAAAGGAAGUGAAACAGACAGAUGACAAAGUCGUUAACGUAUUAUAAAGUAAAACUUAACAUUUAAUUUAUGGAUCAAUUAUUAAAAAAUCAAUCACAUUAAAACCUUCUGGUAAAUCUUGUUGCACAGUAAUGUUUAAUUCUUAGUGAUUUAUGAUGAGUUUGGUCACUCGAAUAGUAAAGUGUCAUGAGACAAUUGUUGAUUUGGCACUAAAUAAAUAAAGUGAAUUGAACUGAAUGAGCACCACAGUAGCAGAUUAAUUGUUUAAAAUGGCACAUUGAGUUCAGGUUUUAUUCGUUAAACCCUCAUUUCCUCCCAUGUGUCACCUCCUCUCCUCUGUGUCAACACAGCAUCAGGCCCACAGCUGACCCACAGCAGUGUUAGCCUGCGUCACGUAUCAUAAGUGUGUGAUGUUUGGCCGUCUGUCCUGCAGUGUGUGUGUUAACCUGCUCUUGUGUGUCUCUGCUCUCCCCUCCAGCUGGCCCCAUGGUCAGGCCCUCGGUCUCUCUGCUGUCCCCCUCCUCUGAGGAGCUCUCCGGGGGUUUGGCCACGCUGGCCUGCCUGCUGAGCGGCUACUCUCCUCAGGGAGCGGCGGUGAGGUGGGAGGUGGACGGCACAGAGGUGACAGAGGGGGUCCUGAGCAGCUCGGAGGUGGAGAAGAGCGGACGCUACAGCAGCAGCAGCACCCUGAGCCUGAGCCGGGAGCGCUGGAUGAAAGGAGAGCUGUACACCUGCAAGGUCCUCCAUCACGACCACAGCCAGACCCAGUCCCUCCACAGGAGCCAGUGUGAGGGCUAGAGGGGCUGGCUGAAGACCAGAACAGGAGCUCUGUGUUGUGGGGGAGCAGGAGAAACAAGCACAGAGCUCUGAUCAGUAGGAGUCUGAAUGUUUGUAGAGGAAACUGAAGCUUUGUGUCACACAGAACAACACUGCUGUAAAGUGUUGGACAGCAGCAGCUUAGAGAGUUGUGUGUGUAGCUCAGCAGCGAGAUGUGAGUGUGCUUCAUAAGUGUCAUGUUGG